rnacentral:misc_RNA from 1 species
AACGCACAUUGCGCCCUUUGGUAUUCCAAAGGGCAUGCCUGUUUGAGCGUCAUUUCCUUCUCAAACCUUUGGGUUUGGUCGUGAGUGAUACUCUUUCCAGGGUUAACUUGAAAAUGCUGGCCAUCUGGCUGCUGCUGGCUGAGGCUCUAGUCCAGUCUGCUGAUACUCGACGUAUUAGGUUUUACCAACUCGUUGUGGCAUCGGUCGGGCGUUAUUACGACUCUAGCACGAAAGUACAGACAGCCUGGCGAACAGUAUUCAUAAAGUUUGACCUCAAAUCAGGUAGGAUUACCCGCUGAACUUAA